CCGUACGCCCCCACCACGCGCCGCACACAAUACAGGCCUGCGCAGCUGUGUGUUCUGCACGCAGCAUGGCAGCGGUCUCCGGCUCCGGCAACGACGACGGCAAGUGAUCUUCUUCCCUCUUUAUUAACUGUUGCAGCUAUAUCUAAUGGGUAUGGGUACCCGUCACCCGUGCGGGUGUGGGUAUGGGUGAAUUUUUCACCUGUGAGCGGGUGUGGGUAUUGGAGCGGGCAUAUUUCAUUUUAAUGGGUGUGGGUAUGGUGUCGGUGAAUCCAAUGGGUACGCACCGUUGCCAUCGCUAGUCUCAAAUCUGUAAAGAAGAUUAGAGUAGGAAUUAACGCGUAUAUGUAUAGUAUCAGCGUUCCAAUUAGACAGCAACUCUUUUUUUUUUUUUGGCUUCAAAUUCUACUAAACGCAACCUAUGUAGGAGUAGCACAUGCACCUCCAGCUUACUUUGGUUGCACACACAUGCGAAUCGCCUUCCCGAAGUUAAGUUGAGUGUGUUAUUCAAACCAGCUGCAAUUAUGGUCAGUCUACGCAGUCUCUAGUCUCACAGGUCCUCUUUCUUUAAUAUGAAACGGAUAGAACUGAAUUAGAGCAGGUAUAAUAGCAGGCUGUAAGCCAGCUGCAAACAUAUUUUAAGGAGAUAAUGAGAAAAUAGAAGGAUAAUGGGCUACAGAUUUGUAGCCAGCUGUAGCACGGACUUUAAGACGUAGUGUGCGUAUGACAGGUGGGACCAUUUAUUAAUAGUAUAGUAUGUAAGUAUUGUAUGAAUAAACUAUUAGAUUGGCUAUAGAUAAAUUGAAGUUAGUAGUGGGCUAUACUAUUGAACUUGCUCUUAGGGUGUACGUGAUUUAGAAGCAAACAUCUCGUCAGACUUUCUUGCCUGCACACGAUUUAGGGAUUGUUUAGUUUAAGUCAAAAUUGAAAGUUUAAUUGAAAUUGGAACGAUGUGAUGAAAAAGUUGGAAGUUUAUGUGUAUAAAAAAGUUCUGAUGUGAUGUAAAAGUUAGAAGUUUAAAGAAAAAAUUAAGAACUAAACCAGGCCUCAUUCCUUCUCUCUGUUUGUUUUGUUCUGGGGCUAUGAAGAAACAGAAGAAAGUUUCUUGCGGCGCCACCUCAACGAAUAUCCUUGUUCGCCCAAGGCCUGGAGUUGGACUGAACAAUUCUCUGGAUAACCUCAACAAGACCGAUUCGUUUGUCAUCAUACUACAGUAUCAUUAGGAUCAGGGUUUUCAAUAUCUGAAGAUAGCCCUUGACAUGUUCAGCUGAUUGCCUGAAACUGACAGGUAAUUGGUACUUCUAGAUGAUUUUAUUUCAGCUUUUGAGCCGGGAUAUCUACCUG
rnacentral:lncRNA from 1 species